AUACGGAGGAUCCGAGCGUUAUCCGGAUUUAUUGGGUUUAAAGGGUGCGCAGGCGGGAGAUUAAGUCGGCGGUGAAAUUUUGCAGCUCAACUGUAAAAGUGCCUUCGAAACUGGUUUCCUUGAGUGUAGAUGAAGUAGGCGGAAUUUGUGGUGUAGCGGUGAAAUGCAUAGAUAUCCCGAGGAACUCCGAUUGCGCAGGCAGCUUACUAAACUACUACUGACGCUCAGGCACGAAGGCGUGGGGAUCAAACAGGAUUAGAUACCCUGGGAGUCCACGCAGUAAACGAUGAUUACUAGCUGUUUGCGAUACAAUGUAAGCGGCUGAGCGAAAGCGUUAAGUAAUCCACCUGGGGAGUACGUUCGCAAGAAUGAAACUCAAAUGAAUUGACGGGG
rnacentral:rRNA from 1 species